rnacentral:rRNA from 1 species
GUCGAGGGGCAGCAUAAAUUACUUGUAAUUUGAUGGCGACCGGCGAACGGGUGCGUAACGCGUAUGCAACCUACCUUUUACUAGAGAAUAGCCAAGAGAAAUUUUGAUUAAUGCUCUAUACACUUUAAGACUCACAUGAGUCUAAAAGAAAAGCUCCGGCGGUAAAAGAUGGGCAUGCGUUCUAUUAGCUUGUAGGUGAGGUAACGGCUCACCUAAGCUUCGAUAGAUAGGGGUCCUGAGAGGGAGACCCCCCACACUGGUACUGAGACACGGACCAGACUUCUACGGAAGGCAGCAGUAAGGAAUAUUGGACAAUGGAGGCAACUCUGAUCCAGCCAUGCCGCGUGAAGGAAGAAGGCCCUAUGGGUCGUAAACUUCUUUUAUACAGGAAGAAAUCUUUCCACGUGUGGAAAGUUGACGGUACUGUAAGAAUAAGGAUCGGCUAACUCCGUGCCAGCAGCCGCGGUAAUACGGAGGAUCCAAGCGUUAUCCGGAAUUAUUGGGUUUAAAGGGUCCGCAGGCUGUUUGUUAAGUUAGAGGUGAAAUCCUACCGCUCAACGGUAGAACUGCCUUUAAAACUGGCAAACUUGAGUUAUUGUGAAGUAAUUAGAAUGUGUAGUGUAGCGGUGAAAUGCAUAGAUAUUACACAGAAUACCGAUUGCGAAAGCAGAUUACUAACAAUUAACUGACGCUGAGGGACGAAAGCGUGGGUAGCGAACAGGAUUAGAUACCCUGGUAGUCCACGCCGUAAACGAUGGUCACUAGCUGUUUGAUGUACAUUGGUACAUUGAGUGGCUAAGCGAAAGUGAUAAGUGACCCACCUGGGG